rnacentral:rRNA from 1 species
UAGCGGUGGAAUGCGCAGAUAUCAGGAGGAACACCAAUGGCGAAGGCAGGUNUCUGGGCCAAUACUGACACUGAGGAGCGAAAGNCUGGGGAGCGAACAGGAUUAGAUACCCUGGUAGUCCAGACCGUAAACGGUGGGCACUAGUUGUGGGAACCUUCCACGGUUUCUGCGACGCAGCUAACGCAUUAAGUGCCCCGCCUGGGGAGUACGAUCGCAAGAUUAAAACUCAAAGGAAUUGACGGGGCCCCGCACAAGCAGCGGAGCAUGCGGCUUAAUUCGACGCAACGCGAAGAACCUUACCAAGGCUUGACAUAUAGGGAAAAGUGGCAGAGAUGUCAUGUCCGCAAGGGCUCUAUACAGGUGGUGCAUGGUUGUCGUCAGCUCGUGUCGUGAGAUGUUGGGUUAAGUCCCGCAACGAGCGCAACCCUCGUUCUGUGUUGCCAGCAUUUAGUUGGGGACUCACAGGAGACUGCCGGGGUUAACUCGGAGGAAGGUGGGGAUGACGUCAAAUCAUCAUGCCCCUUAUGUCUUGGGCUGCACGCAUGCUACAAUGGCCGGUACAGAGGGCUGCAAUACCGUAAGGUGGAGCGAAUCCCAAAAAGCCGGUCUCAGUUCGGAUUGAGGUCUGCAACUCGACCUCAUGAAGUUGGAGUUGCUAGUAAUCGUAGAUCAGCAUCGCUACGGUGAAUACGUUCCCGGGGCUUGUACACACCGCCCGUCACGUCACGAAAGUCGGUAACACCCAAAGUCAGUGGCCCAACCGCAAGGGGGGAGCUGCCUAAGGUGGGAUCGGUGAUUGGGACGAAGU